AUGAGGGUGAGUAAUUAAUGACAGAAUUUUCAUUUUUGGUUGAACUAACACUUUAAGGAUGUCUAAUGAUAGUACCAACUACCUAAAUGUUUCAUGCAUAUUACAGUGAUCCCAUUAUACUCUAUUACACUCUGUGCCUUUAGUAACUGUCAGACAUACUACACUUAAUAUUUGCCAGAUGUAGUGAUUAAAUGGUGCUGAAGAGUAAUUGAAAUCACAUUUGGUAGACUUGCACAAUGUGGAGAAGGGCCCUCCAGGAGGAGUACUGGACACCCCUGAACUAGUCGAUUGUUGACUUGCAGGAUGAUGCGGUGUCAGGGUAAAAAUUCUAAAGUCUAAGUUUUAAGAACAUGCCUCAAGAUAACUUUAUUCUGUUCCAAUCCAUUGUACUCCGUCUAUCUGAACGCAAGAGCAUAUCUUAUGUAUACAGCCUUUAAAAAAUGUGUCCCUUUGGAGUGAGUUGAACUCCAAACUAGCCUAAUUAUAGUUUAUUUUGAAAACAUGCAGUUUUGCACAACUCUAGUAUAGUCUUUUGGUUUGACUGUAUUGCCAAAACUUUUUUUUUGAUGGAUGUUUGCACUUUACUCAGUGGAUUCCUGAUGUUUUUGUCUGAUAACUGCUUUUUCAGAAUGAUGGGUCAUCCAGUUCCCUGUGAACAGCAAGCCCCAGAGCCCUGCUGAGAUUUCCAGUGAGAGGGAAGCUAUAAUGUCUGGCACUAGUGUCGUUGUGCUGAGUCACGGCACCGCUAACACUAACUUGCGACAUGGCGCGUGCCUAUCACCUGCACCCUGCUGCUAGCAAGACAAUUUGCAGCUAAAAUGACAUCCUUCGCACAGCUCCUGCUGGCAGGACCCCAACAUCGCCUUCAAUUUCUCUCACCUCCGUCUCCAGUAGCACAUACAAAUAACACUCUAUCACUCGUGGUUUGAGCAUGCAUUUUCACCAAGCUGCCUUCCACAACUACAUGGUUCAUAUCACACGAUGUGCAGCACAGAUUUAUGGCAUUCAUCAUGUUCACCUUGUUUUAGAUGUCUCUUUGAAUAGAGCUGUUCAGUUUGUGGUCUAAAACUCAAAGGAGAAUUAGUAUCUUUAGCAUUCUUAGCAUUUCCAUGUUGUGGGAAAUUUGCAGAAUUCGAUUUAAAAGUAAAAAUGGUUAACAUUUUUUGAAGAGGCUUUUAUUUUAAAGUACAUAAAACCAAUCCUCAGACAUGAAAUUUGAAACUUUUGUGCGUUUUAAAAAUGCUAUGUUGUUAACAAGAUUUAUUGUUAUUGUAGCAACUUUUAUUUUAAAAGCACACAAUGGUUUUAAAGUACAUUUGAGGUAUGAAUGGUUUCUAAAUCAUCCAUUAAGAAAAAAAAAAAAAACAUGUAAAUACUCAAGUAAUGUCAACCACAAACCUUAUUUCACUCAUAAAUCAAAAACCACCAUUUAAAAACCCUUAGGAAAUUACAAAGGGAACCUGUGGCAAAUUAGCCUUCUGGUUAGGCCCACAAAUUGACGUCAUGACUGAAUCUCUCUUUUCCCAUAGUAAAUAAACAACUGAGUCAUUUUUGACGUUCAUAAAUUUAACAGCCAACAUUGACGGGAAGUGACUGCAGUAAAUCAUUUAUUGUGAAAUUGUGGUAGCGGAUGUUCUUCUGCAAAGUGUCUGUGGUCUAAACUCCUCCGCGUGAGCUGAACUGAUCAUUUAUGGAAUCUGGCUGCCAUGGCAACAGCAGCAAGUGGGGUGGUUGCAUGGCCCAUGUGUAAACAACUGAGGUGGUCAUGUGAGAGGGAGUGACAUCAGCAGCACACUGACCUUGGGAGAUAAGGAAAGAGGAUGCUGAGAGGGGUGAGGAGGGCAGGUGGCCUGCCUCUCUUGGCAAAUUACGUGUUUAUGUGCCGAGGACACAAAGCCAAGAAUGGCAAAACAAUCGUGUUGAAGACAAACUAAUUUUGGAGCCGACUAGAAUUUGCCCACAGAUGUGACCAAUGGAUGUCCAAAAAAAUGGAAUUCUGGGCUAUGUACCAGUAACGCCUCUAACACAGGCAACUUACCUAUUCGAUCAAGGCGGUCGAUGGCUACGGUCUCAAACGCUCUCCUCAUCAUGGGGUACUCCUCCAGUACUUCAUUAAAGUUGUCUACGGAGAGCGAGUACAGUCGGCAAUAGGUGUCCGCCCGUACGCUGGCGGUUCGUCUUCCACGGGUCAACAGGCAGAUCUCUGAGAAUGAACAGGACAUAUCAUGGUUAUGGUUCCAGAAUCUUCUGUAUCUUAGUGUAACAGAUGUAGGCUACUAAGAGCUGUGCAUGUAAACCUCACUCCCCUGAACUCAAGAGGUGCUCUAGCGACUGACUGUGGUCUUUAGCCUCCUUGUCAGAGCACCCACCUCCCAUGCGGACGGGCCCGGGUUCGUGUCCCGCUUGGAGCAGGCAGGUGCGAACUAGAGGGGCUACAUUGGUGCCGUGACCCGGAUGGGAGUGAGGCUUAGGGGAGUGAGUGUAACAGACGUAGGCUAGUAAGAGCUGUGCAUGUAAACCUCACUCCCCUGAACUCAAGAGGUGCUCUAGCAACUGACGCUAGAGACUGCGGUCUUUAGCCUCCUUGUUGGAGCGCCCACCUCCCAUGCAGACGGGCCGGGGUUCGUGUCCCGCUUGGAGCAGGCAGGUGCGAACUAGAGGGGCUACAUUGGUGCCGUGACCAGAUGGGAGUGAGGCUUAGGGGGGUGAGUGUAACAGACGUAGGCUAGUAAAAGCUGUGCAUGUAAACCUCACUCCCCGGAACUCAAGAGGUGCUCUAGCAACUGACGCUAGAGACUGCGGCCUCCUUGUUAAAGCGCCCACCUCCCAUGCGGACGGGCCCGGGGUUCGUGUCCCGCUUGGAGCGGGCAGGUGCAAACUAGAGGGGCUACAUUAGUCAUUCCUUAUUGGUUUUAGAUGAGUCUUUAGUACUUGUCAAGCUGGGAGACAAGUUAAGACUAGCUGGCUGUACCUGAUGUAAAAAAAAAAAAAGCUUAAACCAGCCUAAGAUGGUUUGUUGGUCUUAGUUUUUAGAUUAGUUUUUUAGUACUUGUCCAGCUGACAGACUAACUAAGACCAGAGGAACCAUCAAAAGCUGGCUGUGCCUAAUAGGGGAAAAAAAAAAAACAGCCUAAGAUGAUUUUCUCACCUUCGCUGGUUUUCCAGCCAUGUCAGGCUGGUCCAGAUUGCUGGCUUUAAAGUGGUUUCUGUCAUUGGUCAGCUGGGUGACCAAGUUCAGUCAGAUAAGUCUGGUUUAUGCAUUUUUUCUUUCUUUCUUUUUUUUUUUUUUUUUUUUUUUUUGCAGGGUCUAAGCUGGUGUUUGGCUGGUCAAUCAGCUGCUCUCUUAGACUGACUAGUGGACAAGGGCCAAAAAACCCUUUAAAAGACCAUCAAAAAAGACAGACUUGACCAGCUUGGUCUGGUUGGGAGACCACCUAGACCUUUUAGGCUGUUUUAAGUGUUUUUCAGUAGUGUUCGAAACAGGUAAUCUAAACAUCCAUGGAACAUAAACUUCAACAUAAAAGUCAUUAAGUUUUUCAGUCUUUUUUCUCUUUAUUCUUGAAAGAACACAUUGAGAUUUCACCACAACUGGAGUUGAAACCUGAAAAGGACCUGUCAGUUUGCUUCUUCUCCUAACUACACCUCUUCUCUUUGAGAGGAAGGUCAAACUCAGCAUUAAAGAGAGCCCUUCUUCAGCGCCCCUGGCUCCUGGUAUAUCCGCAGCCUCAGUGAACUCUGCUCCUUGCCCCUCCCAGACCUUGCCCUAAAGACUCUGGAAAAAGCACUGCUUUUUUCUGAAUCACCAACUCAAGCCCCUCGAAGAAGGCAGCAUCUUAAAUGGGACAAAGCUUGCUGGAGGGAGAAACUAAAGAGUCAUGUUCAAAUUAGGAGCCGUCAGAGAGCUUCAUGCCGAUAUUCCCUUUGGUCAGGACGCUGACUACGCCAUGCUGAAUGAAAUACAUCUUCUUGCCGAUAGUUCCCUCUCGAAUUAUGUAAUCUGCUGGUUGGAAGACCUCGAAGCGGAGCUU